UACGAAGGGGGCUAGCGUUGUUCGGAAUCACUGGGCGUAAAGGGCGCGUAGGCGGCCGAUCAAGUCGGGGGUGAAAGCCUGUGGCUUAACCACAGAAUGGCCUUCGAUGCUGUUUGGCUUGAGACCGGAAGAGGUUAGUGGAACUGCGAGUGUAGAGGUGAAAUUCGUAGAUAUUCGCAAGAACACCAGUGGCGAAGGCGGCUGACUGGUCCGGUACUGACGCUGAGGUGCGAAAGCGUGGGGAGCAAACAGG
rnacentral:rRNA from 1 species